rnacentral:miRNA from 1 species
UUCUCAUCCUUCUGUUCU